UUACCGGAGUACUAUGAAUACUAUAAAUUUAAAACUCAAAGAACUUGGCGGUGUUUUAGACCACUCAGGGGAACCUGUCUCGUAAUCGACAAUCCACGUUGUACCUGACCUUUCUUUGUUCUCAGUUUGUAUACCGUUGUCGUCAGGUAACUUUUUAGAAUGUAGAAGUUGGCUGGAGAAAUAAAUGAUUUAGUACGUCAAAUCAAGGUGCAGCUAAUAGAAAGGGGAGGAUGGGUUACAAUUAUUUAUUUAUAAUUACGGAUUAUUAUGUUAAAGCGUAAAAAUAAGAAGGAGGACUUGAAAGUAAAUUAAAUUUAUAAAAAUAAAUUUGAAUAAGGCUCUGAAACGUGU
rnacentral:rRNA from 1 species